rnacentral:rRNA from 1 species
CCCUUAGAUGUCCGGGGCCGCACGCGCGCUACACUGAAGGAAUCAGCGUGGCUUUCUCCCUGACCCGAAAGGGUUGGGAAACCCGUUGAAUCUCCUUCGUGAUAGGGAUUGGGGCUUGAAUUGUUCCCCAUGAACGAGGAAUUCCCAGUAAGCGCGAGUCAUAAGCUCGCGUUGAUUACGUCCCUGCCCUUUGUACACACCGCCCGUCGCUACUACCGAUUGAACGGUUUAGUGAGGGCCUCGGAUUGGUCUCGGCCCGCUCUUUACCGGGCGGCGCCGUUGGUCGAGAAGACGCUCGAACUUGAUCGUUUAGAGGAAGUAAAAGUCGUAACA